rnacentral:rRNA from 1 species
UACGUAGGUCCCGAGCGUUGUCCGGAUUUAUUGGGCGUAAAGCGAGCGCAGGUGGUUUAUUAAGUCUGGUGUAAAAGGCAGUGGCUCAACCAUUGUAUGCAUUGGAAACUGGUAGACUUGAGUGCAGGAGAGGAGAGUGGAAUUCCAUGUGUAGCGGUGAAAUGCGUAGAUAUAUGGAGGAACACCGGUGGCGAAAGCGGCUCUCUGGCCUGUAACUGACGCUGAGGCACGAAAGCGUGGGGAGCGAACAGG